rnacentral:lncRNA from 1 species
AAAAGGGACUAACCAAGCCUUAGGGCCAAGCACAAUACUAAUCCAUAAACAUAACUCUACUUUACGUUACAUUACAUCACAUUAUCUUACAAUACAUUAUAUCAAUUUACAUUACAUGUCCACACUAAAACACUAAUCUAUUACAUAAGCAUAACAUUACCCUUGACGUCUUCCUGAACUACCUCUGACCUGCAAACCUGGGGGUUAGGGGAAAGGGGUGAGCUAAAAAGCCC